rnacentral:rRNA from 1 species
UAAAUCCUUUCGACGAGGAUCGAUUGGAGGGCAAGUCUGGUGCCAGCAGCCGCGGUAAUUCCAGCUCCAAUAGCGUAUAUUAAAGUUGCUGCGGUUAAAAAGCUCGUAGUUUAACCUCACUUUUCGAAAGGAGGUGAACGAGCGCCGUAGUACCUAGACAAUACUUUCUCAUUCCUCUCGUUACGAUAGAAGGAGUGCUAGUACGGGGAUGUCGAAAGCUCGAACAAGGUGGUGGUGAAAAUAGACGUAUGUACGAGUUGAUUUUAUGACAUUGGUGGUGGCGGAGUCGGUCGUCGUAGCUGCUGCUGCUGCUGCGGUGGUAGUACGCUAAUGGCAAACGACCGUCGCCGCUGCCGCAUCUACUACUACUUCGUUCAUCGUCGAUUCCCUAUUCGUUGCUUGGGCUCCUCCUCCUCCUCAUCAUCCUUUCCAACGGGGACGGAAAAGAAAAAGCGAAAAAAGUGUGACGGCGUUUUAAGUCACCAGUACUUCUCGAUGAAAAACAUCAUACGGCCGCCCACCGGCGUAGUAGUAGUAGUAGUAGUAGUAGCAGCAGCCUACGUAAAUGAGUGGUAGACGAUUUUGUAUCUCUUCUACUUUCAGUGGUGGUGCUGCUGCUGCUGCUCCUGAUUGCUCUCGCGCGCUCGCGUUCGGGCGGCAACUUCACUUUGACAAAAUUAGAGUGCUCAGAGCGGGCAAGAUCUGAAGCCUGAAUGGAGGUGCAUAGAAUGAUAUAAGAUGACCUCGCGAUCUAAAC